UACGGAGGGUGCGAGCGUUGUCCGGAAUCACUGGGCGUAAAGGGCGCGUAGGCGGCCUGAUAAGUAGGGGGUGAAAUCCUGCGGCUUAACCGCAGGGCUGCCUUCUAAACUGUCAGGCUUGAGCACAGUAGAGGCAGGUGGAAUUCCCGGUGUAGCGGUGGAAUGCGUAGAGAUCGGGAAGAACAUCAGUGGCGAAGGCGGCCUGCUGGGCUGUUGCUGACGCUGAGGAGCGAAAGCCAGGGAGCAAACAGG
rnacentral:rRNA from 1 species